rnacentral:rRNA from 1 species
UACGGGGGGGGCAAGCGUUGUUCGGAAUUACUGGGCGUAAAGGGCUCGUAGGCGGCCAACUAAGUCAGACGUGAAAUCCCCAGCUUAACCUGGGAACUGCGUCUGAUACUGGAUGGCUUGAAUUCGGGAGAGGGAUGCAGAAUUCCAGGUGUAGCGGUGAAAUGCGUAGAUAUCUGGAGGAAUACCGGUGGCGAAGGCGGCAUCCUGGACCGAGAUUGACGCUGAGACGCGAAAGCGUGGGGAGCAAACAGG